GCAAAACCUGUUCCUUGAAUAGCCUGGAUUUGGUCUCCAUGUAAUUUGCAGCAUAGAUGCAAUAUUUUUCAUUAAAUAAAGUAACACUAUUGUAAUCAAACUAUACAUAGGAGAUUAUUGUUCAUGGCUUGCUGCUGAAGAAAUUCUUAUUCAAUAUAAAUUAUCCAGUUCUGGUCCAAAAUGAAAUUUACAGUGCCAGUCAUCCAGAGAAGUUUGGAUGUUUUGCAUCACUUCCAUUGUGGACAAACAGGCACUGUUGUCUGAUGUUGUUUCUUAUUAUGCGUAGGGAAUCCCAACUUUACAAAGAGGCGAGCGGUGUUUUUUGCCAUUAUGCAGUUGAUGUCCCUCGAAUAAUGAUUUCUUUUAUUGGAAAACAAAAUAGUUGUUAGGUUAGUCUAAUCUAUGUUACUGUACUGAUCAGAGAGCUAUUUCCCUGGGGAAACACAUUACUCAUCAAACAAACUACAAUAAAAUAUUCUAAAAACAUGAAUGAUUUAAAUAUUCUUUCUUGCUGGAAAAUGGUGGCAAAAACAAGUUUUAUACAGAUUUGUAGCUGAAGUAUUGCUUCUAACUCUAAUAUUAAAUUUUCUGUGCUAUUUUAUGUGUUUGUAUUCAUUCUUGCCAAUGAUCAAGAAAGAUGUCUUCAUCUUCUUCGUUCUUGCUCAUUUAAUUUGUUGUCUGCUAGGAUUUCUGCUUCUCUAUGUUGACCUAAACCUAGUUACGUGCUUCUUAACUAAAUUUUUUUUUUUUU
rnacentral:misc_RNA from 1 species